rnacentral:rRNA from 1 species
GGUAUUAAAUGCAGUCGAAACGAAGCACUGAAGCGGAUUACUUCGGUUUGAAGCUUUCUUUGACUGAGUGGCGGACGGGUGAGUAACGCGUGGGUAACCUGCCUCAUACAGGGGGAUAACAGUUAGAAAUGACUGCUAAUACCGCAUAAGCGCACGGUUUCGCAUGGAACAGUGUGAAAAACUUUAGUGGUAUGAGAUGGACCCGCGUCUGAUUAGCUGGUUGGUGAGGUAACGGCCCACCAAGGCGACGAUCAGUAGCCGGCCUGAGAGGGUGAACGGCCACAUUGGGACUGAGACACGGCCCAAACUCCUACGGGAGGCAGCAGUGGGGAAUAUUGCACAAUGGGGGAAACCCUGAUGCAGCGACGCCGCGUGAAGGAAGAAGUAUUUCGGUAUGUAAACUUCUAUCAGCAGGGAAGAAAAUGACGGUACCUGACUAAGAAGCCCCGGCUAACUACGUGCCAGCAGCCGCGGUAAUACGUAGGGGGCAAGCGUUAUCCGGAUUUACUGGGUGUAAAGGGAGCGUAGGCGGUGCAGCAAGUCAGAAGUGAAAGCCCGGGGCUCAACUCCGGGACUGCUUUUGAAACUGUUGAACUAGAUUGCAGGAGAGGUAAGUGGAAUUCCUAGUGUAGCGGUGAAAUGCGUAGAUAUUAGGAGGAACACCAGUGGCGAAGGCGGCUUACUGGACUGUAAAUGACGCUGAGGCUCGAAAGCGUGGGGAGCAAACAGGAUUAGAUACCCUGGUAGUCC